GUGCUCACUUUGGCAGCACAUAUGCUAAAAUUAGAACAACACAGAGAAAAUUAGCAUGGUCCCUGCGCAAGGAUGACAUACAAAUUCAUGAAUUGUUCAAAGGUCAC